AUCCAGCUGACGAGUCGCAAAUAGGGAGAAACUCACGUCCUGGAU
rnacentral:hammerhead_ribozyme from 1 species